AUGUUCUGCACAUCUACUAAAGUUGGAACAAUACUGAGAAGAUUAGCAUGGCCCCUGCACAAGGAUGACAUGCAAAGAACAGCAUUUGCAAAGGUCCUG
ensembl:snRNA U6 U6 spliceosomal RNA